GCCAACGAGUACCAGGGGUGCUUGGUGUAGCGUCUAGGAUGGCCGGUGCAGUGUCCCCUGUAGGGUACCGAUGGUUUCUGGCAGUGAGGUCAGCGGGGCGGCAUGAGGACAGGCCAAGUGACCUUCUGGGUACGGGAGAUUUGUUCUUCAGUCGGGAUUGCAUAACUGCCAUAGAGGUAACACUGUCAGAGUGAUACCUGGUGCGGCCAGCUGGGGGUCAC